rnacentral:rRNA from 1 species
CGAACGCUGGCGGCGUGCUUAACACAUGCAAGUCUACAGGGAAGGCCCUGCUUUUGUGGGGUGCUCGAGUGGCGAACGGGUGAGUAACACGCGAGUAACCUGCCCUUGACUUUGGGAUAACUUCAGGGAACUGGGGCUAAUACCGGAUAGGAGCUCUUGCUGCAUGGUGGGGGGGGGGAAGUUUCGGCGGUUGGGGAUGGACUCGCGGCUUAUCAGCUUGUUGGUGGGGUAGUGGCUUACCAAGGCUUUGACGGGUAGCCGGCCUGAGAGGGUGACCGGCCACAUUGGGACUGAGAUACGGCCCAGACUCCUACGGGAGGCAGCAGUGGGGAAUAUUGCACAAUGGGCGGAAGCCUGAUGCAGCAACGCCGCGUGCGGGAUGACGGCCUUCGGGUUGUAAACCGCUUUCGCCUGUGACGAAGCGUGAGUGACGGUAAUGGGUAAAGAAGCACCGGCUAACUACGUG